UACGUAGGGGGCAAGCGUUGUCCGGAUUUAUUGGGCGUAAAGAGCGUGUAGGCGGCCAGACAGGUCAGCUGUGAAAACUCGAGGCUCAACCUCGAGACGUCGGUUGAAACCGUCUGGCUAGAGUCCGGAAGAGGAGAGUGGAAUUCCCGGUGUGAGCGGUGAAAUGCGCAGAUAUCGGGAAGAACACCCGUGGCGAAGGCGGCUCUCUGGGACGGUACUGACGCUGAGACGGCGAAAGCGUGGGGAGCGAACAGG
rnacentral:rRNA from 1 species